rnacentral:sRNA from 1 species
AAAUAGUGUAGAGAAUAUAGUUGCUCUAUAUAAAGAGUCAAUCUGCAAAAAUCUAUAUUUUUUUAGUCAAUUAUAGAGUAGGGUUGUAGAUGUCCUGACGACUAAAAAUUUUUAGGAGUAUGUUUCUCUUAUUGGCAGCUAGCCUAUCUCUGGGAAACGGAAAAGUACGAAGUAGU